UUUUUUUUUUUUUUUAAAUAAAAAACUAAAUUAUGGGUUAAACACCUUGGUUUAAUACAAUUUGUGUUUCUGUUAACUAGCAGCAGAAUUUCAGCAUUUGCUACUUACUGGUAGAGAAGAAAAAUUCCACAGCACUGCCAGUACAGGUUAGUUUAAUCUGUAAGUACCUGAUGUUCCUAUUUGAAUUAAUUUGUUCAAAUGAUACCACUUAAAUACAUGAGGGGAAUUUUGGUCUCUGAACUGUGAUUGUUAUCUACUACUGAUUUCAGUAGUGAGUGAACAUCUAGAUUUUUUUUUUUUUUGGAAGAUCUGUAAUGGAUUUAACUGUGCUUGUGGGCAGGUAAUAAAUACCUGCAAGCACCUUAAAGGAAAAUUUAAUACAGAACCUUAACAAAUACCCUUUGAUGUUACUGGAAAGUUUUGAAAUCACUUCAGUAACAUGCCUUUAUCGAUGAGGCUGUUUUUUAUCAGCAAACCAACAGGAUCCUGUGUUUGUUGUGUUGGGGAUUAAGCAUUUCUGUUUGUAAACUCCAUAGCAGUAAUGUAAUCCUUGGAUUUUCUUUAGCUAUUACUAAUUACCAUUUCCUACCAACAGAUUUUUACUUUGCUAGGCCUGUGAGCCAGGAACUUGUUCUUCUCUGCCUUUUUUAAUCAUUAUUUUUGUUAGUCCAUUGCAGCACUUCAGAGGCUACCUACAAAUGUGGUUUUGUCCAGCUGUUUUAUCUUACUCCAGAGUUACUGCUGUGCCUCUAUUUUACUUCUGCCCUAUCCCAUAUUCUCAGAUAUUCUGGCAUUUUAUUUUUAUUUUAUAGAAUAUUUUACACCUUAAAAGAAAACAGGAGAGGUUCUUUGUGAUGGGAUAGAAUAUGCACCUUUCUCCAGAAUGGCUGCAUCCAUCUAUUUUUAUUUAGACUUUAUGUAUCUCAUUUCUACAUAUCAGCACAGAAGAUAAAAACUUUUUCUGUGCUGUAGCACCAAGCAUAGAUCCACAGCUGGAUGGGCUGUAGAUCUGUGCUUUAAUUCACUUUUUAAGGCCAUGUUAUCACACUCUGAGGGACUUUUGACAUUGUAGGUGGAUAAUUCCAUGGGCAGUAGGUACUGGGAGGGUCAGAGUAAAGUGGGAGCUGAACAGACACUUCAGUUGUGCAGCUCAUCUGGAGGGGCUGGAGUGGGUUUAUGAGUGUCUUACCACUUGCAGUGGUACUGUUUAUUUUAGAAUUCUGGAAUCUUACACAGUGCUGCAGAAUUCAGACCACCACACACACUUUCAAGGGGAUUGUGUCUUCCCAGGCUCACGGGAGUUACACUUGCAGCCCAUCUCUGGCAUCUUCUUUACACCAGUUCUCAGUACUUCACACUAAACUGCUUUGUCUGCAAAACUAAUGUUGCACAGAUGCUUCUCCCUAGCAGGAAAAAAAUAGGGCAGUCCUAUAUAGUGAAAUUUCUGACUUAGCUUUACCUGUAUUUGCUUCACCUUGGUGGCAGGUGUGUGUGAGCAGUAGGGAUCCCUUGCCUUGAGGCCCUUCUCCUGGUGACAGGAUGUAUCCACCUUUCUUGUAACCUCUGGGGGUGACCCUAGUUCAGUGCUAAGUACUGAGCUGGGGUGAGGAACUGAUGGCUCUUGGCUGCUCAGGUACCUCAUGAAGUCCUGGUUUUCACAGUGCUUGGGUGCCUCCUGCACUGCUGGUACCCCAGCCUGGCAGUCCAUGGGGAUAACUAACGGGUACAGUGUGUUCCAGACUGUCUUAACCAAAACCAAGUGCAUCUGUCCAGGGUAGGUCCUGCUAGGCCUCUGGUGGAACAUCAUCUCUGGGAUGUCCAGUCUCAAGUGGUUCAGCACUCUUCUUCCCCAGUUCUGGUACAGUAUAUAUGGAAGAGGUUGGCAUUUCCCACUGUUUCCUUAGACUUCUUGCUGACUCCCAAUUGCUCCUUCAGGGUUUCUGGACACUGUGCAGUGAACCCAAACUGAGCAAACUCCAAGCUGGUUUUAGUACCUUCAUAGAGCACGUGAGUGGGUUGUCCCCUCUCAGUAGCAGUACAGCCACAGAAAUGAAUGUGUUGUGAAGGUUUUUUCUGUCACUUGAUACUGCUUUCGUGUAAGUGGUGUGAAAGGGCUGGGAUUACUGAUCUUUUUCAAAAGACAGGUGGUGGCAAAAUACUGAUGUUGAAUUUAAUUGGACAAAGUGAGAGACUGGUAAGUAUGUGCAUCACUUUAAUGCAUGCAAAUAGUAACAUAACUAGCUUAAUUUUAUAGCAUUCAGUUUACAAAGAAGAUUCAAAGAAAACAUGGAGCAAACAUUUGCAUCCACUGGGAACCUUCUAUGAACUGUGUGCUUCAGCAAUGGAUCAUUGCACAUAUCUGUAAUGUGUAACCACUUUGUAACAGUGUCUGAUUAAAAGAAGUGAACCACUGUUUCUGUGUGGUAUUUUUUCUCUUGCAAACCUAUGUAAGUUAUUAUUGCAAAAAAUGUUAUCAUGUGAAUAACCUGAUACCAGCUUUUUAAAUGUGUGUAAGCUGCAAAGACUCACUUAUGUGAGUGUUAUCUUAAAACAAAAUGGAGAUAAGCAAGAGAAUCCUGACUUCUUAACUGUAACUUCCUUUUGCUGUUGAUUUGCUGUCUUGCUGAGCAGACUUUACAAGGAAUUUGACUACUGAAGUUGGAAGAGUUGGGAGAAUGUGGAGGAAAAGUUUGCAACAGCAUUUUUUUCAUAACAGCUGGUGGAGCAGGUGUUCUGUGAGAUGCUCUGUUCUAAACCCUUUCCUAGCAAAACCCUGGAGAGAUGAGGUAGCUUGGAAUGUGUGUGUCCUUGUACCUUGUGUAGUGGAUUGCUGGGCUGGGCUGGUUUGGGCUCAUUUAGCUACCACUCUACUCACAGGUUAAUUUCUAAGAGAGUGUUAAAAGGAAGAUCAAUCCAUAUUUUAAUGCUGCCUGGAACAAUUGAUGGCAUUUUGAAUGGGGGAUGUGUGACGAGCACUGAGUUAGAGGAGCCUUCAGGGAAGAUGCUGCUCUGCACAAACUCUUUUUGUCCUCUGACCCUUUUGGCUCCAGGGAAAUCUGAGGGGGCAUUUGGGAGAUGGGAACUGCUUUGUCCUAAAAGCUGACUGGAGCAAGGGGGGUGGUGUGUGGCUGGUUAAAGCCCUCCCAGUGAGAAUGUGACUGGGAAGGAGGGGUCUGUGCCUGGUGCCCUGGGAGCCUCUGCAGCUGGUGUGUGCAACGUGGGACCCCAAGAGUUCAUCUGUAAGUUUAGACUUUACAUCUUGUUUUUUCUGUGGGCUGUGGGGGGUGAGGUAAAGAGUUUGCAUCCAAGCUUUCAGUUUCUUUGUGGUAGAAAUGGGUAUAUUUGAAAAGACUUCUCUAAGUCUUUUCUUCCUCAAAGGAGAGACUCAAGCAUGUGCAGUGGUGGGGCUACAGAGCAAAGCUUUGCUACCUGCAGAGUAGAGUUAAGUGUGUGCAGGCAGGAAACAAGGUACAAGACACAAGCUGGUGUUAAUUUUUCAUCAUAGUAAGUUUCUUUUUGUAAACAAAACCUGUGCUUCUGCUACAGCAUUUGAGCAGGUUGUGUAUCUGUUAAGCAACUUUUCAGUAAGUUUGCAUGUCCUGUUUCUGCUCUGGGUUGAAGCCAUCCUUAUGCCCCAUUCUAGACUAGAAAAACUGCCUUGGCCUAACUAAAUUUUCAAACAUACCCCUGUCUCCUGCAUCAGGGCUGGGGGGCAGAGGGGGCUUUCUCUGGCCCUCCAGCUCUCUUCCUCCUGCCAAUUGUUUCUGCUCCCUGAGGCCAGAAGGUGAAGGCUUGGACUAGAUAAUAAUCUUUGUUUUCAUCCUGUUUCUUCUGAAUUCACAGUGGCUUGCAAUUCCUUUUACAGUUUUUGACUGAGCCCAGAUCUUGUCUGAAGUUGGAAAAGCAAAUCAUACCUUGCUACUGUUAGAACUACAUCUUCAGUCUUCUCCCCUCCUUUUUGGUCCCAGGUAAUUUCUGUAUCUCUGGAAGCCUGGCCUUGCCAGCUGUGCUGCCUCUGUACAGCUGUUCUGUGGGAAGGCAGCUGUUGGUGCUCCUGACACACGUGGGUGUGAAAGAAAUGGGAACUGCUGGAGAAACUUGUGCUGCCAGCUGAGCCCUUCUGACAGCUCCUUCUGUUGGAUACUGGAAAAGAGGAGGCCCUGCAUCCCCCAGUUCAGCUCAGUGCCUGACCCAGCAGAAGGGUUUCUGGUCAGUGCGGUGUCCUCACCCGAGACUUCACCUCCAUUGCCAGGGGUUCAGAGAGGGACAGCAGGGACAGCUGGCUCUGUACUGCUGGAGGAAAGGGAUAAUUACACCUGCUCAGCAUCCCAGCACGGGACAUUCACACGUCAGCCACAGCCACCCAUGAGCACAGGUCACAGCGAAGGGGGGUGGUGGUGGUGGUGGUGGUGUUCCUUCUCUC